CUAUUUAUACCCAUUUUCUUCAACCUCUUGCUUCUCCAUCCCAAACCCUAGAAUUUAUUUCUCUUUUCCUUUUAGUCCAAAUUAUGGUGAAUCACUACCAGUUGAAGCUGCCAGCAUGAUCUUAACUUUUCUCCCUUUUUUUUUUCAUUUUUAUUUUUCUUUGAGGAAAGAUCAGAUCAUGCGGCAGUUUCACCUGUUGUUGGUUUUCCCUUUCACCCACAAUCCCUAAUCCCUAAAUAUUAGCCCUAAUUUCAUCUAAUUCCUCUCCCUCAAAAACCCUAAUUUUUCCUUUUUUUUACUUCAUUUCCCUCUAAGUUAAGAAAUUAGGGUUUGUGAUUCCUUCAAAGCUUCUGAUCAUGGUGGUGGGUUUAUCUUUAAGCUCUUUCCAGCUAGGGCUUAUAUGGGUAUCUUAUUUUUUUUUUUUUGGUUCUCAUUAUUGGUUUUUGAUUCAAGGAAAAAGGGUGUUUUCUGAAGGAAAGAUUCUGCCAAGAGUGAGACCCCUAAUUAUUAAGAUUUAUGGAGUUGCAAUUUGUCUGUUUCAUAUUGUUUUUGGGAUUGAUGCCAUCAAGUAUUUUUCUUUUUUCACAUGAUGUGAAUUAUAUCUCUUUGGUUUCAUUAAGAGAGAGAAGUAGAAAAAUAAGAGAGAGCAUUAACUAUCCUUCUGCAAAAAAAUUUGAUGAUAAGUCACAAUAUAACACCAGUUUUAACGGCUUUAAGGAAAACCCCUACACCAAACUCAUAAUUGUUUAGCUAAAUUCAAGUAUAGCUGAUGAAUAAAAUACCAAUUUCAUUUAGAAGAUUACACUUGUGAUUUAAAGAUAUGUAUAUUAUAUAUCAGUUGAACUAUGUUCGGUUAGAUUAGAUUUCAUUACCAACCAAAUUAUUUACCUUAAUCCUUUUCAAUUGGUGUCCUAAUGAUCCAUUUCCUCUCCCUAGUCCUUCCUUGGCCAUCUCUUUCUCUCUGUUUAUUUGGGGCAUUAAUUGUUUUUUUGGUCUUUCUCUUGAUGAUAUGUUUUUGGGCUCAACCCCUUUGAACAGUGCUUUUAACAAGUUGAUCUAAAACCCAACAUUAGUAUUAAUAAACAACUAUUAAUUAAUGGAUUUAUGAACCUCGUGACUUAAGAAACUUAAUUAUGUUGCUUUAGAAACUUUUUUUUUUUGUUUGUUUGUUUAAAAUUCUUUGAAUAUUACUGGUAAUAUGGAAAUUGGAUAGACAUUGAUGUAAAACCUCAACUCUUUAUCUCUCUAUCUUAUUUUUGGUAGGAAUCUUUUAAUCUCCAACAAGGUUUUGUUUUUGUUUUUGUCCAUGCACAGAACUUUCAUAUUUCCAUUAAAAGCCACAAAAAAACAAAACAACUUUUAAAACUUAAUAAUAAUAAUAAUAGAUAUUCAAGAAGAUGGAAGAUAGUUAUGUACAGUGAUCAUGUGGAAAACAAGAAAGGGUUUUUUUACAUGCCAUUUCAGGCUGCCUAGGAAAAGUAGCCCUCUGAAGAAAAACACUCGAUCAUCUUCAGAAAAAAAAUCACAUAUUUUCCUUUACCAGAUGGUUUUUUUAUCUCCUUUUUUUCUUAUCUGUGAUUUUUCUUUGAGAGCUAUUGAUGAGUAGUUUGAGCAGAGCAAGGAUUACUUUCAUUUAUCAGUUUGGUACUCUUUGGAAGACCAUGUUACAUAGUGUAUGCAUGACAUUAAAUUUUCAUUUCAAUUUUUCUAAAAUUUAUAUUUUAUCGAUAUUUUUAUUUUUAUUUACAUUUCUAUAAAAUUGGGACUUUGACAUUUUUGUGGCAUUUUAAACCUUUGAGAGUAUGUACACUUUGUGGAAAAAUAAGAUACUGAGUACAAUGUCUAUACUUAUUUUGUUUUGGAUCUUAACUUCUGAAUAGAACCGAUUUUAAUUAGUUCUAGUUAGUUUUUAGUUAAUUACCUUGUAUUAUAUUUCAUGUGUUUUCUUUUUAUAAUUAAAUAGAUUAAUGGAGUGCAAUGUCUAUAUUAGGAUUAAUGUUAGAAAGUUAAAUGUGUUUGUUUACCAAUUUUGUGUAUUAAAACCAAAAUUAAAUAAUUACAUAUAACUAAAUGUAAGAGAAUUAAGUAGUAUAAUCCUGAAUUGAAUUUAGCAUUGUUUAAUAUAUUGUUUUGUUAAUUAAUUAUUUAAUCAGAUAAAAUAAAAAAUUAAAUAAAUAUUAAUAAUUGAUAAUAAAGUUUUAUAUUAAAUAGUUAAUAUACAGUUACAUGACAAGUGUUUGGAACUUGAGGUAAUAUACAUGCCACGUGUUUGACUUUCCAAAGUAUUUAUAAGAUUUCUGUUAAAUAGUUUACCAUACUUAAUAACAAAAAAUCAAAAUUUGUUUUUUAUAUUUAGUUUGGGAUUAAAAUGGGUGGUUUUAGUGUUUUAUUUUUUUUAAAAAAAAACUGAUUUUAGAUUCUAUUGUUUUGAAAUUUGAAAAAAUGAUUUUAAAUUACCUUGUUAGAUGAGAGAAUUUUUAAAUUAGUGUAAUUAAAAUUCUUUGCUUGGGGAUGAUCAAGAGGGAAACAAAAUAAAAAGUUUUAACUAAUAUAUAAGCUUUUAAUCUUAAUUAGGAAAUUAAAAUAAAGUUAAACAAGUAACUUUUUCUUGAAAUCACCCAUGACGUUGAUAGCACAAUUUAUUUGACCAACGAUAUCACAAAAAAAAAGUUGGACCAAAAUUUUGUAGCCAUAUACGUAUAUAUAUUAUCUAUUUGAUUUGUGGGUGUAAAAUUGUAGUCUUGGACAACUCUUUAUGAAAAAGUUUUGGAUACUUAUAUAUAUAUUUUUUACUCCAUGAUUAAAGUAGUUUAAAAAAAAAUGUGUAUAACCUAAGAUGCAUCCAAGUAAACUAAAAAACCAUUUGGAUUUUGAUUUGAGAAGAAAAAAAAUCAUUUUUAUUUAAACAUUUUUGAUAAAAUUGAUUAAAAUAUAUUUGAAAAACUAUUUUAAGUGGUUGUCAAAUACUCUAAUUUAUUUCAAAAUGAUUUAUUUUUUAAAUUAAAUAUUUGAAAAUGUAUUUAUUUUUUAAAUUAAAUAUUUGAAAAUGUAUUUCAAAUCAGGUAAGAAGGUUAAUGAUGAACAAAAAGUUAAAAGGCUAAGCAAACUUAUGUUGAUCAAGUAAAUUGAGAAAGCUUGAAGCUCCUUGUGUUCUUUACAAGACUUUGAAGUAAAAAUUCUGGGAGUAAGAAUUGGGAGAAUUUUGAAUUUUCUCUCUGUCCAAUUUAUAUCUUAUAUAUUGAAACAUAUAUUUUUUAUUUAUUUAAAUCAUAUUUAAAUUUUAUAAAAUGUAUAUUAAUUCAACCCAGUUGAACCUCAUUUAAACUUGUGUCUCACACAUAGAAGUUUUCGGUUAAAUCAAUAUUUUAAGAUUUAGUAACCAUUUAGAUCAUGUUUGGUAACUAUUUUGUUUUUUUGUUUUUUAAAUUAAGUCUAUUUUCUCUUCAUUUAUCACUGCAUCUUUUUAAGUAUGAUGGUUGAAUUCUUACCCAAAUUCCAAAAACAAAAAAAAGUUUUUAAAAGCUAAUUUCUUUUAUUUUUCAAAUUUUGGCUUGAUUUUUUAAAUCAUUGGUAAAAAGUAGAUAAAAAAAAAAAAAAGUGAAAGUAGUGUGUAUAAGUUUAAUUUUCAAAAACAAAAAAAAAUCAAAAGUCAAAUUGUUAUCAAAUGGUGUCUUAGUUUUGAGUUUUUAUUUUUUAAAAUUAAGAUUAUGUCAUCUCAAUUUAUUACAAUGAUUUUCAUCUAUCUUAAGUAAAAGAGUUGAGUUUCAAACUAAAUUCCAGAAAUUUAGAUUGGUAUUGGUAUUUAUACUUAAAAUAUUGAAAUUGGUUAAAAUUCACGUAUCUAAAUACCUUUGUUUUUUUUGUAAUGUCCUUAAAUUUUUUAUUGGAUUGUUAUCAAAUAUAGUAAAAUGAAUCAAAAUACAAAUAUAGCAAAAUAUCAUUAUCUAUCAGGUAUCUAUCAUUGAUAGACACUGACAGAUGUUUAUUAACAUCUAUCACUGAUAGAUUGUGACAUAUUACUAUAUUCGAAAAUAUUAUUCUAACAGUUUUGCUAUAUAAAACAAAAUUUCAAAUUGAAACUUUAGGGUUUAAAUAUAUACCAUUAAACAUUUUGUUUAAUAUGAGAGCAGUUUUUUUUUUUUAAAAAAAAAAAUUGAAUAUGUUAUUCAUAAAAUAUUGUGUGUGGGUGCGCGUGAGUGAUUUAAAUUAACCGUGUCGCGAUUCGGUAAGCUACGUGUCCGGAGAAAAGGGGCUUGACUUUAGGCCCAACCGAUCUUGGAAAACUUAAGAAGAGUUCCUUCCUAAUCACCCCAUUCAUCCAAAAGAGAAGGGGCACCUGAACCCCGAACCAUCUUGACCUCGGCUAAGUCCGGGAAGCCGCUUCCUUUCGCCUCUGAAAGCGUCCUUCCUUCUCAAUGCUCGGGCAUCCAUCCAAUGCAUUCUUUUCACUCUUCACGGGUUGGAUUUCAUUUUUUUCAUCAUCUCUAGAUGUUGCGACUUCUGGCAUCAUCGGAAGGAUCGAAACCACAUUUGUGUUUGAGGGAGUUGGUGCGACGAAGUAGGGGAUUCAAUUCCAUAUAUCCCGGAUGCCAAGUCACUCAAUAAAGUAGCUCGGCUAAGAGAGAGAAGACAAAGAAAACGACUUUCUUUUUUCAUUUAUAGGAGAUCAAAUUUCAGCGAUCUCGACAAAGAGACAAAGCCAAAAAGGGAGAGGCCUUUUCAAGGUCUUUGUUAGCACUCUCUUUGAGAGCAGGCCUAUAUGUAGGUGGGAAGUACACACCGAAUGUAGUAUUAAACCAAUGUUUAUCGAAGUUAACGUGUACACGAAUGCUCGCUUCCAACUUAUAAGUUAUUUUUAAAUUUUAAAAUACGCACUAAAAAUAAAAUAACAGUUAUGUUGUGAAUUUGAGGAGCAUAACAACGCAUAACGAGAACACAGAAAUGAAGAAAAUAUUAUAAUAAUAAAAUAUAAAAUAAAUAAAUAAUAAAAAGUAAAUAAAAUAACAAAAAAUGAAUUUCUCCACUUUCUCUAAUCUUUUUGGAUUGAUCACUAAUGUGUGUCUUUCAAAAUCUACCAAAUGCCACAGGAACAACACAUGGGGUAAUAGAUAAGUGACACAUGACCAAUGAACACUAAUAAUGAACAUCUAUAUCACAACUAAUUUAACAUAUUUAUAAUAAGUGAUAUUUCCUCCGGGGAAAAAAAUUGUGAUGUUGACACACCAAUUCUAAUUGUGUCCUCCAGCCAACAAACAAAGGCCCUAUUUUGAAAACCUUUAUUACAAGAAAGUAGAUGGAUUAAGUCUAGACUAAAAUAGAGCCCAAACAAAAAGAAAAAAAUGUUAGAACUACAAAUUAGUUCAUUAGGCACGUUUGACGAAUUGAAUUGAGUUGGUAAUUAUUAUUUGAAAAAUUAGAUUAUCUGUGGAGUUAGAUUUCUAUAUUUGAGGUGAAGAGUUGUGUUAAGUUGAAAAAUUUGUGUUUGGAGUGUUGAGUUGAGUUAAGUUGAGUCGAAAAAUUCGUGUAUUGGGUGUUGAGUUGAGUUGAGGUAUCUUAAGCUGUUUUUCUAAACGAAAUUGAUUUUAUCUUAAUUUUUUUCCUAUUUUUUUAAAUUUCCAACUACACGCUUACUUUCCUAAAAAUUUUAACACUAAAAGAUGCUUUAUUCUCUUUUUUCUUCAUUCUUAAAAUAUAACAAAUUCUUACAAAGUAAACAUAUAUUAAAUACAAAUUCUAAAUUCAAUUUUUGACUACUAAAUUAUAUAACAUGCAUUUUUUUUCUAUUCCUAAAUACCAAACAUAUUCCAAACAAAUGAAAAAUAUAACAACUACUUAGCCCUAAAUAAUAAAACCUAAAUGUCGGGCUGCUUCUUGUUUCAGGCCCAUGAUGCUGAGCAGUUCAGUCCAAAAUGAGAGAUCGCAAUGAGCCACGCCUCUCAGCUAUCCCGACAGUACAUGGAAAGAUCCACUAUCAACGAUCUGUGGGAGUUCAAUGAGGCCAACCAAAAAUCAUUUGUGAAAUAAAGAAGAGAAUCAAGCAUGCAAAUUGAAGAAGAGAAAGAGGAAGAGAGGAGCAACAAAGCAUGUAUGUGGUUUCGGCUAAAAUUCAAGCCUACAUCUACGGGAAGGGAAGAUGAUUUAUUGAAGACUUUCAGAGAUAAGUUUUUCUUUUCUUUACAGAUCUUGUACAAGACAGAAUGUAAAAAUUUAAUUCGAAAUGAAUGUAACCUAUAUAUAUGUGAUUACAAAUCUGUUAUGAAGUCUGUUAAAAAGUAAAAACUAGCCGUUGAUAUAUUUGAGAUUAAAAUCUUUCA